GCUCGGAUGGUCUAGUGGUAUGAUUCUCGCUUAGGGAUUUAACUCUAAGUAUCAGCUACACUAUAGUUUGCGAGAGGUCCCAGGUUCAAAUCCUGGUUCGAGCC